rnacentral:rRNA from 1 species
UACGUAGGAUGCAAGCGUUGUCCGGAAUUAUUGGGCGUAAAGAGCGCGCAGGCGGUCUGCCAAGUCAGAUGUGAAAGAGGCCGGCUUAACCGGCAAGGGUCAUUUGAAACUGAUAGACUAGAGUGCAGCAGAGGAUAGCGGAAUUCCCGGUGUAGUGGUGAAAUGCGUAGAUAUCGGGAGGAACACCAGUGGCGAAGGCGGCUAUCUGGGCUGCAACUGACGCUGAGGCGCGAAGGCUAGGGUAGCAAACAGG